GUCCAAUUACAUUCAAAGGCGCAUGAAUUUAAAAUAUAUAGUUACAGGAAUAAAAAUGAAAAAAAAAAGUACACACCCACAAACAGCCAAGAGAUGAUGUAUAAACCAUAUAAAAUAUAUGGACAAGAACUUAAUUGAAAUUAAUAAGUUCCAAAUUAGUUAUUAAAACCAAAAAUCCUUCCCAGUUAAACUUCCCACAAGCAUUUCUGGAGCUACUGUCACAUUUAGAAGUUCAAGUGUGCAAAUCUUGACUGUAGCUUACAGAGGCAACUUUUUCUUCUGCUCAUAUAUGUUGAACCAGAAGCACUAUCCCUUCCUGAACUACCAUAUAAGCAGUUACUUCAUUACAACAUGAUAACAUUUCUUCCAUAAAUCCCUACUUACCACAGAAUUAUCUGCAAGCUAGCUAUCACUUUAACACAGACUAAAAGAAAUUGUAGAUACAGAUGGAAAAACAAACAAAAAAAUAAUAAAAAGAGUCAUUCACCCAAUCCAGCAAUUUCUCUGGCCCUAGGAAGCUUAGCUUCUAAUUUUUACAAGCCAUAAGUCUUGCACCAGCAUGACUAGAUCGGAGCUUUUCCCUAACUUUAAUGCUACCCGUAGCCUUUAAUCAUUUUCUCCCUCUAAGUCAUUCGCCAAGCAAAAGCUCUCGUUUCCCUCUGAAAUCAUAGGUGAUUGCCAUAAACAAAGCAUACCCAGGUUAAAAAAAAAAGGAGU
rnacentral:misc_RNA from 1 species